rnacentral:misc_RNA from 1 species
AACGCACCUUGCGCUCUCUGGUAUUCCGGAGAGCAUGCCUGUUUGAGUGUCAUGAACUCUUCAACCCGCCAGUUCCUUGUUGAACUGUGUCGGUGUUUGGAUUCUGAGCGUUUGCAGUUUUUAGUAACUGCUCGUUCGUAAUACAUUAGCAUCUCAAUUUCGAACUUCGGAUUGACUCAGUGUAAUAGACUAUUCGCUGAGGAAUUCGCCGCAAGGUGAAUAGCCGAACAGUAGAUACCUCGGAAGCUACGAACCCUUCUAGUCAAACCUUUUAAGAUUAGACCUCAGAUCAGGCAGGAUUACCCGCUGAACUUAA